UUAAGUUAUUAAGGGCGCACGGUGGAUGCCUUGGCACUAGAAGCCGAUGAAGGACGUUACUAACGACGAUAUGCUUUGGGGAGCUGUAAGUAAGCUUUGAUCCAGAGAUUUCCGAAUGGGGAAACCCAGCAUGAGUUAUGUCAUGUUAUCGAUAUGUGAAUACAUAGCAUAUCAGAAGGCACACCCGGAGAACUGAAACAUCUUAGUACCCGGAGGAAGAGAAAGAAAAUUCGAUUCCCUUAGUAGCGGCGAGCGAAACGGGAAGAGCCCAAACCAACAAGCUUGCUUGUUGGGGUUGUAGGACACUCUAUACGGAGUUACAAAGGACGACAUUAGACGAAUCAUCUGGAAAGAUGAAUCAAAGAAGGUAAUAAUCCUGUAGUCGAAAAUGUUGUCUCUCUUGAGUGGAUCCUGAGUACGACGGAGCACGUGAAAUUCCGUCGGAAUCUGGGAGGACCAUCUCCUAAGGCUAAAUACUCUCUAGUGACCGAUAGUGAACCAGUACCGUGAGGGAAAGGUGAAAAGCACCCCGGAAGGGGAGUGAAAUAGAACCUGAAACCGUGUGCUUACAAGUAGUCAGAGCCCGUUAAUGGGUGAUGGCGUGCCUUUUGUAGAAUGAACCGGCGAGUUACGAUUUGAUGCAAGGUUAAGCAGUAAAUGUGGAGCCGUAGCGAAAGCGAGUCUGAAUAGGGCGUUUAGUAUUUGGUCGUAGACCCGAAACCAGGUGAUCUACCCUUGGUCAGGUUGAAGUUCAGGUAACACUGAAUGGAGGACCGAACCGACUUACGUUGAAAAGUGAGCGGAUGAACUGAGGGUAGCGGAGAAAUUCCAAUCGAACCUGGAGAUAGCUGGUUCUCUCCGAAAUAGCUUUAGGGCUAGCCUCAAGUGAUGAUUAUUGGAGGUAGAGCACUGUUUGGACGAGGGGCCCCUCUCGGGUUACCGAAUUCAGACAAACUCCGAAUGCCAAUUAAUUUAACUUGGGAGUCAGAACAUGGGUGAUAAGGUCCGUGUUCGAAAGGGAAACAGCCCAGACCACCAGCUAAGGUCCCAAAAUAUAUGUUAAGUGGAAAAGGAUGUGGCGUUGCCCAGACAACUAGGAUGUUGGCUUAGAAGCAGCCAUCAUUUAAAGAGUGCGUAAUAGCUCACUAGUCGAGUGACACUGCGCCGAAAAUGUACCGGGGCUAAACAUAUUACCGAAGCUGUGGAUUGUCCUUUGGACAAUGGUAGGAGAGCGUUCUAAGGGCGUUGAAGCAUGAUCGUAAGGACAUGUGGAGCGCUUAGAAGUGAGAAUGCCGGUGUGAGUAGCGAAAGACGGGUGAGAAUCCCGUCCACCGAUUGACUAAGGUUUCCAGAGGAAGGCUCGUCCGCUCUGGGUUAGUCGGGUCCUAAGCUGAGGCCGACAGGCGUAGGCGAUGGAUAACAGGUUGAUAUUCCUGUACCACCUAUAAUCGUUUUAAUCGAUGGGGGGACGCAGUAGGAUAGGCGAAGCGUGCGAUUGGAUUGCACGUCUAAGCAGUAAGGCUGAGUAUUAGGCAAAUCCGGUACUCAUUAAGGCUGAGCUGUGAUGGGGAGAAGACAUUGUGUCUUCGAGUCGUUGAUUUCACACUGCCGAGAAAAGCCUCUAGAUAGAAAAUAGGUGCCCGUACCGCAAACCGACACAGGUAGUCAAGAUGAGAAUUCUAAGGUGAGCGAGCGAACUCUCGUUAAGGAACUCGGCAAAAUGACCCCGUAACUUCGGGAGAAGGGGUGCUCUUUAGGGUUAACGCCCAGAAGAGCCGCAGUGAAUAGGCCCAAGCGACUGUUUAUCAAAAACACAGGUCUCUGCUAAACCGUAAGGUGAUGUAUAGGGGCUGACGCCUGCCCGGUGCUGGAAGGUUAAGAAGAGUGGUUAGCUUCUGCGAAGCUACGAAUCGAAGCCCCAGUAAACGGCGGCCGUAACUAUAACGGUCCUAAGGUAGCGAAAUUCCUUGUCGGGUAAGUUCCGACCCGCACGAAAGGCGUAACGAUUUGGGCACUGUCUCAACGAGAGACUCGGUGAAAUCAUAGUACCUGUGAAGAUGCAGGUUACCCGCGACAGGACGGAAAGACCCCGUGGAGCUUUACUGUAGCCUGAUAUUGAAAUUCGGCACAGCUUGUACAGGAUAGGUAGGAGCCUUUGAAACGUGAGCGCUAGCUUACGUGGAGGCGCUGGUGGGAUACUACCCUAGCUGUGUUGGCUUUCUAACCCGCACCACUUAUCGUGGUGGGAGACAGUGUCAGGCGGGCAGUUUGACUGGGGCGGUCGCCUCCUAAAAGGUAACGGAGGCGCUCAAAGGUUCCCUCAGAAUGGUUGGAAAUCAUUCAUAGAGUGUAAAGGCAUAAGGGAGCUUGACUGCGAGACCUACAAGUCGAGCAGGGUCGAAAGACGGACUUAGUGAUCCGGUGGUUCCGCAUGGAAGGGCCAUCGCUCAACGGAUAAAAGCUACCCCGGGGAUAACAGGCUUAUCUCCCCCAAGAGUUCACAUCGACGGGGAGGUUUGGCACCUCGAUGUCGGCUCAUCGCAUCCUGGGGCUGUAGUCGGUCCCAAGGGUUGGGCUGUUCGCCCAUUAAAGCGGUACGCGAGCUGGGUUCAGAACGUCGUGAGACAGUUCGGUCCCUAUCCGUCGUGGGCGUAGGAAAUUUGAGAGGAGCUGUCCUUAGUACGAGAGGACCGGGAUGGACAUACCUCUGGUGUACCAGUUGUCGUGCCAACGGCAUAGCUGGGUAGCUAUGUGUGGACGGGAUAAGUGCUGAAAGCAUCUAAGCAUGAAGCCCCCCUCAAGAUGAGAUUUCCCAACUUCGGUUAUAAGAUCCCUCAAAGAUGAUGAGGUUAAUAGGUUCGAGGUGGAAGCAUGGUGACAUGUGGAGCUGACGAAUACUAAUCGAUCGAAGACUUAAUCAA
rnacentral:rRNA from 1 species